GGGCCCGUGGGGUAGUUGGGAUAUCCUGGGGGACUUCGGAUCCCCUGACCCGGGUUCGAAUCCCGGCGGGUCCG
rnacentral:tRNA from 1 species